AAGGAUCAUUAUUGUACUAGAGUCACCAACUUGGCGCAAACCAAGCUGGUCAUACUAGUACAUUCGUACUAUUUUUGGGUUUUUUUAAUUAAAAACCCCAAUCCUUACAAUUUUUAUAAACACAAAAAAAAAUAUAUAUAAAAAUAGAUCACUUUCAACAACGGAUCUCUUGGCUCUC
rnacentral:misc_RNA from 1 species